CACAACGUCAAUUAAAACAUCCCUGGAAAAUGGGAACGUUUCAAGGUGUCGGCACGUUUGUCUCCCUCUCCCCUGGUGAACGUGGAAAUGGGGAGACAAUAGUGCAACCUCGAAGUGAUGAAUGAUGAGAUGAUCUCUAAAAAGGUGCCUUUUUGGGCGAAGAUUUUUUUAUUCUCAUUUUUUUUUAAUUUUUGGUUUUAUUCUUCACAAGCUUAUCUAACCGCUACAGGGAAUGUAAUCCCCAGUACUAUUAAAAUGAAAGGUUAGAAUUCGUCUA